rnacentral:rRNA from 1 species
GACGAACGCUGGCGGCGUGCCUAACACAUGCAAGUCGAACGGAGUUAAGUCUUCGGAUUUAACUUAGUGGCGAACGGGUGAGUAACGCGUGAGGAACCUGCCUUUCAGUGGGGGACAACAGUUGGAAACGACUGCUAAUACCGCAUAACAUGUACGGAUCGCAUGGUCUGUACAUCAAAGCUUUAUGUGCUGAAAGAUGGCCUCGCGUCUGAUUAGAUAGUUGGUGAGGUAACGGCUCACCAAGUCGACGAUCGGUAGCCGGACUGAGAGGUUGAACGGCCACAUUGGGACUGAGACACGGCCCAGACUCCUACGGGAGGCAGCAGUGGGGGAUAUUGCACAAUGGAGGAAACUCUGACGCAGUGACGCCGCGUGCAGGAAGAAGGUUUUCGGAUUGUAAACUGCUUUAGACAGGGAAGAACAAGACAGUACCUGUAGAAUAAGCUCGGCUAACUACGUG